rnacentral:rRNA from 1 species
GUGGGGAAUAUUGGACAAUGGGGGGAACCCUGAUCCAGCCAUGCCGCGUGUGUGAAGAAGGCCUUUUUGGUUGUAAAGCACUUUAAGCGAGGAGGAGGCUACCGAGAUUAAUACUCUUGGAUAGUGGACGUUACUCGCAGAAUAAGCACCGGCUAACUCUGUGCCAGCAGCCGCGGUAAUACAGAGGGUGCAAGCGUUAAUCGGAUUUACUGGGCGUAAAGCGCGCGUAGGUGGCCAAUUAAGUCAAAUGUGAAAUCCCCGAGCUUAACUUGGGAAUUGCAUUCGAUACUGGUUGGAUAGAGUAUGGUAGAGGAUGGUAGAAUUCCAGGUGUAGCGGUGAAAUGCGUAGCGAUCUGGAGGAAUACCGAUGGCGAAGGCAGCCAUCUGGCCUAAUACUGACACUGAGGUGCGAAAGCAUGGGGAGCAAACAGGAUUAGAAACCCUAGUAGUCC